rnacentral:rRNA from 1 species
UACGUAGGGGGCAAGCGUUGUCCGGAUUUAUUGGGCGUAAAGAGCGUGUAGGCGGUUAGGUAGGUCCGUUGUGAAAACUCGAGGCUCAACCUCGAGACGUCGACGGAAACCGUCUGGCUAGAGUCCGGAAGAGGAGUGUGGAAUUCCUGGUGUAGCGGUGAAAUGCGCAGAUAUCAGGAAGAACACCUAUGGCGAAGGCAGCACUCUGGGACGGUACUGACGCUGAGACGCGAAAGCGUGGGGAGCGAACAGG